rnacentral:tRNA from 1 species
GAUAAAGGAAGGAAUUAAACCCCCUUUUAUAGGACUACAGCCUACCGCCUAUCAUUCGGCCACUUUACC